rnacentral:tRNA from 1 species
UAUAGUAUAGUAUGGCUUCAUGUACCAACUAUAUGGGAGUUGCUGGUGUAUUGGGCGCCGCUCUGCUAUGUGCUAUUCAUGGUGCUACCG